CUUACUCCAGCUCAGUGUGUUCACCGUCUCAGCCUUCAGACCCCAGAGGAGACAAGAAAACACUGGACGAUGUUAUUUACACACAAGUGACCAUCAAAACUAAAGACCCAGUGUACAGCCUGCCGUAAAAAUCCAGAUGUUUAUUACGCC